rnacentral:rRNA from 1 species
AUCUCAAAUCAGGUAGGACUACCCGCUGAACUUAAG